rnacentral:rRNA from 2 species
UGGGGAAUAUUGCGCAAUGGGGGCAACCCUGACGCAGCAACGCCGCGUGCGGGACGACGGCCCUCGGGUUGUAAACCGCUUUCAGCAGGGAAGACAUCGACGGUACCUGCAGAAGAAGCCCCGGCUAACUACGUGCCAGCAGCCGCGGUAACACGUAGGGGGCGAGCGUUAUCCGGAUUCAUUGGGCGUAAAGAGCGCGCAGGCGGGCGGCUAAGCGAGACCUCUAACCCCGGGGCUCAACCUCGGGCCGGGUCGCGGACUGGCCGCCUCGCGUCAGGUAGGGGUAGGCGGAAUUCCCGGUGUAGCGGUGGAAUGCGCAGAUAUCGGGAAGAACACCGACGGCGAAGGCAGCCUACUGGGCCUCGACGGACGCUGAGGCGCGAAAGCCGGGGGAGCGAACAGG